rnacentral:rRNA from 2 species
UACGGAGGGGGCUAGCGUUGUUCGGAAUUACUGGGCGUAAAGCGUACGUAGGCGGCUUUGUAAGUUAGAGGUGAAAGCCCGGGGCUCAACUCCGGAAUUGCCUUUAAGACUGCAUCGCUUGAAUCAUGGAGAGGUGAGUGGAAUUCCGAGUGUAGAGGUGAAAUUCGUAGAUAUUCGGAAGAACACCAGUGGCGAAGGCGACUCACUGGACAUGUAUUGACGCUGAGGUACGAAAGCGUGGGGAGCAAACA